GCAAAAAUAUGACUGUUUAGUAUUAUAUUUUUCAAUGGUGUGCAUAUAAACAUGAUAAGUAAUGCAUGCAAACGCGCGACUACUGGACCACGGCACGGGGUCAGGUUGACACCUAAAUACAAGAUCUGUUAGGACUAUUCUCAAAAUAAACGAAGUCAGGACGCAGACCUCCCGCUAUUUUGAUUUCGUGUUCUGCCGCCAGAAAAUUUGGAAGCUGACGAACGAAUGAACAACCAUCAUACAAAUUAAGGUGAUGAAUGAAACUCUACCACUGUUUUUGUCCUAUUUUUUUAUUUUACUAUAAUAUUUUAUUUUAUUUUUGCACGUAAUAGAAAGCUAUAAACAAAAACAUGCUAAUGUUUUGACUGCAAAAAAAAUCAAUUUCCGCCCAGUUUAUUCUUGUUCUUAUCAUGGAUUUUCUAGUACAUUUUUUUUUUGUAAUGAGAUCCAGCUACUUUGCUGCUCGGUGAUUAUUCACUUUUAUUGUAUCAACGCCCUUGUAUAUCUUGUCACCUAGUCAACUACAUAUGUACAACAGGACCACGUCAAUACGAUUCAAUAUUACAGUUUUCUCUCAACACUAGGAUCAUAACUUUUAUUAUCAUUAUUUCAGUUAAGCUAAUAUGUUUAUUAGUACGUGCUCAAUCCAAUACUGGUGCCGAAACUUUGCCACUUAUUUUACUGUUUCUUCGGUGAUAUCGCGGUCGCAUUUUAAAGACAAGGAAACUGCAUACACAUUUUAACUCAUACACGAACGCACUUGAAUUUGGUGCCAACUUUUCUCACGUGUUACGUCGUUUCGUCUAGAUCGAUAACUCUAAGGUUCCGUAUAAUAUGUAAAGAUUGGUGAUGCCACAUGUCUGAUAUAAUACUUCUUGAAUAUAAAAUACUCUUCACAUUAAAUCACUGUCGUUUUUAAAAUGUCAGUGCUAAUAAAUAGGGCUAUAUGUUGUAUUACGGGAUUUUAAGUCCAAGUAGAAAUCUUUAAUCGUUACAUUAGUUGUUGCUAUUGUUGUCAUUAGACUAAUUAAGUUCUAGUUUGUCGUUGCAAACGUCUUCCUUUCUGCUACUACUGCUAUUAUACUUGCGCAAUACGUGAUAGUUUAAUUUAUUCGAUUUAUUUCUCCAUUAUACUUCAUGAAAAAUUACAGGGAAUAAGUUCUUAAAAAUGUUGAUAUUAAUUUCAGAAUUUGAACAUCCGUAUUUUAAAGCCGUAGAAACAUCGAGCUUUGUGAACCUAUACAUAGCGUUAUUUAACUACGUUCUCUGGUUCUCAUAGUUUUUAGAAAACGACCCUAACAAUUAAGUUACAGUUCUUGAUGGGCGGGCAGUUUUUCCUUGAUAAGCUUAAAAAGCGCACGGUGGUCUUCUGGUGCCUUCAUCAACAGAUAACAGCUAUUAAAUUCUACAACGAACUCCAGAAGGAUAAUUUCUUGAGGUUGGUAUUAUACGCAUAGACGCAAACGCGAUGUGCGCAAAGAUGAUUAGACCGCCAUUCCCGAGUCCAAGGACGCAGGAGCAUAAAUAAUGCACAGACGUCUACUUACAAAAUGAUAGAAUGAUAUUCGGAACACCUUAAGAUAAAUUUGGUCAGUGUGUGACUGUGUGGGUCACAAGACUGUGUGCCGUAGCUGGCGUGCGUUUCUCCACUCUUUUUGGUAAAUUAUUGAAUCACAUUUUGCAUCGUGGCGGAUUCAGAACAUGAAUUCGGGAUGCGAACGCAGAUUUGUUCAAUAAAUUUCCACACGCCAAUGCGAAGACAACAAAAAUUAGGGUGAAUGAUGAGUUAUCAAUAAGGGCACAAAAAUAUUAUUUUCAAUGAUUCCGAAACACGUAAAUUGCCUAUAGUGUUGGCUACAGCCUAGAUUAGUUUUGUCUUCUAAUGUCCCUUUUGUUUUUGUGUGUUUUGUGCCAUUGAGUGUUCGAAACUUUUGGUCUAUUUUCAGCCUUGAGAUAGAUUUCAAAAUACGACAUGUGGAAGUGAGACCAUAACAAACCGACAAUGACCUCACUGGCAAUUACUAAAGUCAUUUAAGUAAAUUUACUUGACGCUUCGCAUGCUAACUGAAUUGAAUAAACGUAUCUGCCAAAGAUCAUUUUCUUAAAGAUCUGUUUUCAUUUAAAUGCAGCUUACAAAGGAACGGAAUAAAUGUUUGUCUCAAACUGAAAGUAUACCGUAUUAACAAACGUGAUUACAGGCAGGUGGCAUUGCUUAAUAUAUAUUUCACCCAACUCGCAUAUCCGCAAAAAAGCUUUAACAGAACUAUCGUUCACAAUUCGUGCGUCGUCACAUGCGUCUCGCAUAAAAAUACGCAUGUUUUCACAUAUUCUUAUUUAUUAUUGAAUUUCCAGAGAGAAGUUCAUCUCACCGCUUGCAAAAGCCAUGGUAGCGCUUACCACUGCAAUGUAGACGUACCUUGUUUAACAAAAAUUAAUUUCAAAAAGUGCUUCUUUAACCUCGCCUACACCUACCGCAUUCGCGAAGCUUUGUCUCUUUAAUACGGAUUCUAACAAAAAUUACUGGAUCUAUAUUUUUUUAUAAACUUCGUCUACCGUGAAGAUGUUAGCAAUUUUCAGUUGUCUGAUUGUUUUUACACAAAAUAUGAAAUAAGUCAAACAGAGUACUCCACCAACAAAUUUUUGUUGGUACUUAUUCUACUAAAGAAAGAAAAAUAGAAAA